GAUGAACGCUGGCGGCGUGCCUAAUACAUGCAAGUCGAGCGAACGGACGAGAAGCUUGCUUUUCUGAUGUUAGCGGCGGACGGGUGAGUAACACGUGGAUAACCUACCUAUAAGACUGGGAUAACUUCGGGAAACCGGAGCUCAUACCGGAUAAUAUUUUGAACCGCAUGGUUCAAAAGUGAAAGACGGUCUUGCUGUCACUUAUAGAUGGAUCCGCGCUGCAUUAGCUAGUUGGUAAGGUAACGGCUUACCAAGGCAACGAUGCAUAGCCGACCUGAGAGGGUGAUCGGCCACACUGGAACUGAGACACGGUCCAGACUCCUACGGGAGGCAGCAGUAGGGAAUCUUACGCAAUGGGCGAAAGCCGGACGGAGCAACGCCGCGUGAGUGAUGAAGGUCUUCGGAUCGUAAAACUCUGUUAUUAGGGAAGAACAUAUGUGUAAGUAACUGUGCACAUCUUGACGGUACCUAAUCAGAAAGCCACGGCUAACUACGUG
rnacentral:rRNA from 1 species